GACGAACGCUGGCGGCGUGCUUAACACAUGCAAGUCGAACGGAAAGGCCCUGCUUGCAGGGUACUCGAGUGGCGAACGGGUGAGUAACACGUGGGUGAUCUGCCCUGCACUUCGGGAUAAGCCUGGGAAACUGGGUCUAAUACCGGAUAGGAGCCAUUUUUAGUGUGAUGGUUGGAAAGUUCUUUCGGUGUAGGAUGAGCUCGCAGCCUAUCAGCUUGUUGGUGGGGUAAUGGCCUACCAAGGCGGCGACGGGUAGCCGGCCUGAGAGGGUGGACGGCCACAUUGGGACUGAGAUACGGCCCAGACUCCUACGGGAGGCAGCAGUGGGGAAUAUUGCACAAUGGGCGCAAGCCUGAUGCAGCGACGCCGCGUGGGGGAGGACGGCCUUCGGGUUGUAAACUCCUUUCGCUAGGGACGAAGCUUUUUGUGACGGUACCUAGAUAAGAAGCACCGGCUAACUACGUG
rnacentral:rRNA from 1 species